rnacentral:lncRNA from 1 species
UAAUCAAUUGGGACCCCAACAACUUAAGUACAUGACUUUUCUUAACGACUCUUCUGAUUGUUCAAUGCCUUUGCUUGAAGCCAUGGCAGCCGGCGAAGACAACUUCUUUGUUUGGGUGACUGACCGGAGAUUGGACUUAGCGUGGUGGUGUAGGGCUCUGAUGGUGUAGUUCCACCGUGCGAACCCUUGAUCUUUUAGUGCCUCCACCAAUCCAACGGUAAAAUGUGUUUGAUGAAGCAGAACAAGAUAGAGAUCGGAUAUAUAUAGACGCAAAGGGUAGAGAUUGGUAUCACAGAACCAAGUUUUUUGGGGAAAAACGGUAGGCUGGUAGUUGAAAUGCCAGUGGUUUUAUGGUAGUAAAUUGUCAAGAAUGCCCUUGGUGAAACUUAUGUAAGAUUUGUUUGAUGAAGCAACAGAAAAUGAGAAUCAGGUAUAUAUAGAU